AUUGAACGCUGGCGGCAGGCCUAACACAUGCAAGUCGAACGGUAACAGGAAGCAGCUUGCUGCUUCGCUGACGAGUGGCGGACGGGUGAGUAAUGUCUGGGAAGCUGCCUGAUGGAGGGGGAUAACUACUGGAAACGGUAGCUAAUACCGCAUAAUGUCGCAAGACCAAAGAGGGGGACCUUCGGGCCUCUUGCCAUCGGAUGUGCCCAGAUGGGAUUAGCUUGUUGGUGGGGUAACGGCUCACCAAGGCGACGAUCCCUAGCUGGUCUGAGAGGAUGACCAGCCACACUGGGACUGAGACACGGUCCAGACUCCUACGGGAGGCAGCAGUGGGGAAUAUUGCACAAUGGGCGCAAGCCUGAUGCAGCCAUGCCGCGUGUAUGAAGAAGGCCUUCGUGUUGUAAAGUACUUUCAGCGGGGAGGAAGGGAGUAAAGUUAAUACCUUUGCUCAUUGACGUUACCCGCAGAAGAAGCACCGGCUAACUCCGUG
rnacentral:rRNA from 1 species